rnacentral:lncRNA from 1 species
GGUGGAGUGCUGGCAAUAUGAUACUAUAUAGGCAAACAGAUUUCAUGUUUAAUUCUUGUCAUUAAGAUCUUUCUCUUAACUAAGAAAUAUAUCUCCCUAUAGUAAUCUAGUAUACAUGUAUACGUAGAAACUUGUUCAGAUAUAUUUUUCAUUCGAUUAAAUUUUUUUUUUUUUCAAUAUUGUUUUCUGUGCUGAAAUAUGUUUUAAGUGCUGAAUUAUUCUUUUCUGGGGUAUUGAAACAGGCGGCAGGAAUGGUAGACGAUUUUUCUCCGCAUCUUCUGCUAAAAAAAGUUAUACGAGUUGCCUCUUCAAAACGUCCCUGAAUGCAAUAUACAGACGCAAUCAAAUAAUAAGCAUGUGGAUAAUGUUUAUCACAUUUCGGAGCCAUACUAAUAUAUUUCUGAAAUAACUCGAUAGCCUUUGCUGGAUCACUUUUUCUAAGAUGAUAUGCUAUUCCAAAGAGAGCACUAAAAUUUGUAUCGUCUAAAUCGUGGCAUUUCUGGAAAGAAUCAAGAGCUAGCGCUGAUGGUUGUUUUGUAGAAACGUACAUUGCACCAAGAUGAUAAUAUACAUCGAUAAGAACUCGUUGUAUGAAAGGGUGAAGGUGUCUACUUGUUUGUUCUUUCUGAGUUUCAAUGCAAACUUUUCUAAGGUUGUUAUGCGUAGUUUGGCCGAUUCAAAUUCUGACAAAAGAUUACGUUUUCUUUUCUCCGAAUUGAACGACGCUC